rnacentral:rRNA from 1 species
UACGUAGGGUGCAAGCGUUAAUCGGAAUUACUGGGCGUAAAGCGCACGUAGGCGGACCAUCAAGUCGGUUGUGAAACUCCCUCGGCUUAACCGAGGACGUGCAUUCGAAACUGAUGGCCUUGAGUUCGAAAGAGGAUCGCGGAAUUCCCGGUGUAGAGGUGAAAUUCGUAGAUAUCGGGAGGAACACCAGUGGCGAAGGCGGCGAUCUGGGUCGAAACUGACGCUGAGGUGCGAAAGCGUGGGGAGCAAACAGG